AUAUAAUUCCAUUUUUCUUUAAGUCAUCAGGUAAAAUAGUAAUAAUUUUUUAAAAAAAAGCUUGACAGUUUUAUUUAACUUUUUUAAAAAUAUUAUAUGAAAGUUAUUCUACAAUGUAGCAUUUUAUUCCAGGUUUAAUUAGAAUAAUAAUAAGAAAAAUAAGAAGAAAAAUCAAAAAUAGAGAAAAAAUUGAUUAACAAUAUAGAUUCAAAAGUACUCUCCACAUUGCUUUCAGUUAUUUGAGUUUUUGUUUUACAAGUGGAUUAAACGAUACUAAGUUUCAACUUUUCACUCCUUUUCCGUGGGAGCAAGUUCUACACAAGGAUUGCUACCCCUACACUAGCUACCCCUACAUUUAUUUACAUUGUUGCACGCGUGUGUUUACAUACGCCGAAUUCAAUGGUAAGUUCUUUUAUUCCUUACUUUAAUUAUUACUAUUUUAGAAUGUUAAUUCAUUAUAAUGCUUCACUGUCAAAAAAAGUAAAUAAUUAUUGUAGUUAAUUCUGCUUGAAAUAAACACAAAUAUUCUAAGCCUAUCAUUUGCGAAGUUUAACAAACUAUGACAAAACGUAACGAUUUUGGAAAAAAGCAAGAGAAUUUGUUGAAUCUCAUUUACUGUGCUUAAUGUAAAGAGACGAAAUACAGACCCGUUAUAUACGAUUGUUAUGCAGUUAAGAUAUUUUUAAUAAAAUCAUGAAUUUUUGGAAAGUUUUCUGAUGGUACCUAAGCUUAAUCAAGGAAUAUUAAUCUGAAAUACUGAGUUAAACUAGUUGCGAUCUUAUGUAAAAAAAAAUUCUAUUUUAAAGCUUUAAUUAUCAAAAUUAUUAAAUUAAUGCUGCAUUAUUUUAUUCACCUGACAAAUUUUGUUGCUAUAAUAAAUAACAAUUAACAAAAAGUAACAAUUAUAAGCAUUAUUCUGAAGAUAAUACUUAAAUGUCAUUAAUCAUGGUUGACUUUACACACCAAAAUAUGAGUAGAGGGGAUAUUUUCCUUCUGUGAUUUGCUGCGCCUACUAUUGUGGAUUUCAAACUUGCAUACAUUUAUAAAAGAAAACUUGUAGAGGUUUGCCAGGGGGUAGUGGCUACAAGAUAUACCCUGUUGAGUUUCUUCCCAUGUUUUGUUUUCAGUGUGAUGAUAGCCACUGGAAGUUACCAAGACCUGUUGAUUAUUCUGCCACAGGUGAUGAUAAACUAAUUUUCCGGAGUGGAAAAGAAUUUUAGCUAGAUUUAUAAUGUAAAUUUUUCUGUUUCACUAAUUUUAGGGGAUAUUUCCAUAUAUUAACCUGUCACACUAACUACAAUAGCCAAGCUACCAAAUAGAUAUAAACUUGAAAUUUUUUUUGAAAAAAACAUGAAUGUUUGCCAAAUGGUUACGAGUUAUAUCUUUCGAGUUGGUCCCUUUCUGUGAUUUUUUAACUUUCUUUCAGUUUCUCCGAUACCAGAAGUUGCCAAGACGUGCUGAUUAUUCUGCCAUUGUUCCUUUUAUAGAGAUCUCCCCUGAUUUUAUGAAUCAAAUAAAAGGGGAUGUUUCCCUAUUUGAACUAGAUUGUGCCAACUAAAAAUGUUGAAACAAAAAAAAAAAUAUAUAUUUUGUACUUUGCAAAAAUUUAAAAAGAAGUAUGUAGAAGUUUUCCUGAGGGUUGCUUCAACUUAUAUUCUCUGAGUUACUCCCAUUCUGAGAUAUUUUCUUAAUUUUUCGUGGACCGCUGGAAGUUUAUAAAUAUUUAUCCAUAGGUAACAACAUAGAAAUACUCAUUAAACUUUUAAUUCCCUAUUAGGGUUACUUCUGUAUUGUGAGCAGUUAUGCCAACUGCUAUCGUCCAGGCACCAAAUAGAUUUCUAACUGCUAACUUUUUAAAAGAAUAUGUAAAGGUGUGCGAAAGGUAGCUACGAGUUAUACUCUUCAAGUUGAUCUCCGUUCGUUAAUUUUUUUUAGUUCCUCCUGGUUGCUGCGUGGAAGUUGCUUAGAAGAUAUAGUGAUUAUUCACCGGCAGAUCAUGAUACGGGCAUUUUUCUUACUGUUUUGCCUACUCAGUACGAGAUGGCAUUUUUAUUAGCAAAUGAGACGAGACAAGUGUUAUGUGUGAAACAGUCCUAUCAUAUUGUUAUUAAUUUGAGCUGUCUUAUCUACUUACCUACUAUUGUCUUAUAAAGUAUAAAAACUAUUAGUUGUUGCAUUUUUAAAAAAGUUGAGUAGUGGCAUUUUCUUUUAACUUUACCUUUUUAAAGAACCAAGGGUUAAACACGCUUGAUUGGUGUAAAUUUUACAAGAGUCUAUAGCAGAUGGUUCUUCAACCAAAAUGUCGUGGAAGUAUCAUCUUAACAAGCUAUUGCAAGAGAAAAUCUCACAUGGACAAAAUAGUUUUUUGACUAUUUAUUUUGCAACAUGAUAUCUUUAAAAAGAAAAAAAAAAAACCCAGUUGAACAUUUACUGGAAAUUUUUCUUCUUAUUUUUGAAACAGUUUUUGAAAUUUAUCAGCUAAAACGAUAUGGAAAAUAAUUGCAGUAAUUUUCAAUAUUAAAUUAUCUUUAGAAUUAUUCUUAUUCAAGCUUUUAUUUAAAUUUACAUUGCUGUUUAAAACUUUUUUAAUUCUUUUAUAGUCACUGUAUUCUAAAAAUAUGCCUAGGCAGAGGUCUGUCAAGGCCAAAUUUACUACCGUUUAGCAGUACCUUCACAAAUUCAACUUUAGAAAAAACAUUAGUUUCACAAAAUACUUUUUCUUAUAAUUUUAUUUUUGUAUUCCUUAAGAAACGAUAAAUCCAUAUUUUUGUGUUGAUUUUUUAAUGUAGUUUUUAAUUUUUCACAAAUUAUGUCUAAAUUUUCAUAAAAUAGGUACCUAUCAGAAAAACCUAGACAGACCCUUGCUAGGUGAAAAAGUUCAAUUGAAAUUUUUAUUGCUAAAUUUUUCUUUUAAACAAUUUUUGUCUUGGUUUUUACCUAGCUUUUUACAUUUCUAAAAAACUUUGUUUUUAUUAACUGUAUGACACAGUAAUUAAGAAUGUUUCUAUUGUCUUUAUUCUUAUCUGGAAAAUAUGAUAAUUGGAAAGACUGAGAUGUAAAGCUUUAAAAUUUCAUUUUGAGAAUUAAAAUAGAUUUUUCUGUUUUACAUUUGUAUAUAAUCUUUUGUUUUUUUUAGCAUUUUUAAGAUAACACAGCAUUUUAAUAACAUAUUUCUAAUAGAUUAUAUUUUAGUUAAUGUUGCUUUAUGGAUACUGCUUUACAAAAAAUAUUAUUCUUAGCAUGGAAGUUUUGUUGUAACAAUUAUGAUAAUUUUUUUUUCUCUUUCUAUUUUACUUCAUAACUUUAUUAAGUAUUUCUGGUUUAGUUUUUUGUUUUCCCUUUAGCCCAUUCCACUAAUAUAGAUAAGCAUGGAGUAAUUUCCAAUAAUAAAUAAACUUAUUUAUUCGUAAAAAAUAUUUAUUAAUGAAUUUUUUUUUUUAAAAAUAUUGCUAUAAAAAUAUAUUCUGCAUUUCACCAUUUUUUUUAGCUAACAUUCUGCCAAACCAUUACUCCUUACUUCUCUAGUUCUGAAUAAUAAAUGUGCCCGUAUAAACAAAACAAAAUAUGUUUGAAUUAUUUCUAUGUUUUUAAACGUAUUAACUGAAUGAAUUUUCUUUUUCAUAAUCUAUUGAUGUACUUCUGAGGAAGAUCUUUGAAAAGGAUCUAGCUUUGAGAAUGAACCUCCAUCAAGUCUCAUUUGAAGGUACCUGAAUUAAGAACAUUGCAGUGAAGAGGUGAUAGUAACAACAGGAUGGAAGAAGUUAUGAAUGUUUCAGAUCUGUGGCGAUGUGUUAUAAUUGUAAAUCUAUAUAUUGUAAAUAUAUUGUAUGAUAGUUGUAAAAUAAAUAAAACUUAAUAAAUCUUA